CAGCAGCCGCGGUAACACGGAGGGAGCUAGCGUUGUUCGGAAUUACUGGGCGUAAAGCGCGCGUAGGCGGUUACUCAAGUCAGAGGCGAAAGCCCGGGGCUCAACCCCGGAACUGCCUUUGAAACUAGGUGACUAGAAUCUUGGAGAGGUCAGUGGAAUUCCGAGUGUAGAGGUGAAAUUCGUAGAUAUUCGGAAGAACACCAGUGGCGAAGGCGACUGACUGGACAAGUAUUGACGCUGAGGUGCGAAAGCGUGGGGAGCAAACAGGAUUAGAUACCCGGGUAGUCCCUGUCUCUUAUAC
rnacentral:rRNA from 1 species